rnacentral:rRNA from 1 species
GUCUUAGCUUGCUAAGGCCGAUGGCGACCGGCGCACGGGUGAGUAACACGUAUCCAACCUGCCGUCUACUCUUGGACAGCCUUCUGAAAGGAAGAUUAAUACAAGAUGGCAUCAUGAGUCCGCAUGUUCACAUGAUUAAAGGUAUUCCGGUAGACGAUGGGGAUGCGUUCCAUUAGAUAGUAGGCGGGGUAACGGCCCACCUAGUCUUCGAUGGAUAGGGGUUCUGAGAGGAAGGUCCCCCACAUUGGAACUGAGACACGGUCCAAACUCCUACGGGAGGCAGCAGUGAGGAAUAUUGGUCAAUGGGCGAGAGCCUGAACCAGCCAAGUAGCGUGAAGGAUGACUGCCCUAUGGGUUGUAAACUUCUUUUAUAAAGGAAUAAAGUCGGGUAUGGAUACCCGUUUGCAUGUACUUUAUGAAUAAGGAUCGGCUAACUCCGUGCCAGCAGCCGCGGUAAUACGGAGGAUCCGAGCGUUAUCCGGAUUUAUUGGGUUUAAAGGGAGCGUAGAUGGAUGUUUAAGUCAGUUGUGAAAGUUUGCGGCUCAACCGUAAAAUUGCAGUUGAUACUGGAUAUCUUGAGUGCAGUUGAGGCAGGCGGAAUUCGUGGUGUAGCGGUGAAAUGCUUAGAUAUCACGAAGAACUCCG